rnacentral:lncRNA from 1 species
UUAUGUGCAUCAGCUGCUUCCAAGCUUGAAUCUUUCUAGAAGAGAAGAGCUCGAAAGGCAUUGCCCGCCACUCGAGCAGCGCCUCUUUUGCUUGGUACCUCCACCAAAUGAUUAUAAGAUACCUAUAAAAUGGCCAACCAGCUUGGUACCUCCACCAAAUGAUUAUAAGAUACCUAUAAAAUGGCCAACCAGUAGAGACUAUGUAUGGAGAAGUAACGUGAAUCAUACACAUCUUGCUCAAGUUAAAGGGUGGCCAAAAUUGGGUGCAUGAGC